CUGUUAAUCUCGGCAACUGC
rnacentral:miRNA from 1 species